AUGACUCAAUGUCAGACUUUGUGACAUGAGCUUUUCCCUUGCUCUUAGCAGCUUCCUCUUGAACUUUCAGAGCAACAGACUUUGAUUUUCCUCCAUGUCGUUUGCUCCUCUGUUCCAUCUCAAGUUCAUGAGUCUUCAGUCUUCCAUAAACAUCAUCAAGAGACAUUUCUCCAAGAUCAAGAUUGUCUCUUAUUGUAGUGACUUUCAAAUCCCAUUUUUCAGGAAGAGCUAGA
rnacentral:lncRNA from 1 species